GGAAAAGGAAAGAAAACAUAAUAAUAUUUAGAAUCUACAGCCACGUGGAUGGAAAAUUCAAAUUCGUAGGCGUUUCGUAUGUCAGGAAUCGGGAUGCAUUGAUAAAGUGAAUAUUCCAGAUUUUCUUGAACAAAAAGGUAGUUCAAGCGUUUGACAUGCUCUCAAAGGUCGGAGGGGCAGAAAUACGUGAUAAUGUAAAAAGAAACAUGAAUCAUGGGAAAUGAAAAUGAUAUCACAAAUGCCAUUGGACAUUAACAUGUUACUUCCUCCGGACAGACGAGGGGUGGUGAGAGAAAGUCAUCUAUCUAAAGGCAUCACACCUCCAAAUUCGUGCUAAUUCUCGUGGAUAUUUAAAAGUACAUUUGUGUAUAACUUUGUGAAGUAACUAAAAGGAAUAAUUUAUACGUUAGUGACAAUUAUCAAAAGGAGGUCAAGAUAUGAAAAAUACCGCUAAAUGUUUUAGUAAUGCUGUAGAAAUAUAGUUAAAAUACUGAAUAUCUGUCA